UCGAACGAGAAGAGAGCUUGCUUUCUGACAGUGGCGGACGGGUGAGUAACACGUGAGCAUCUGCCUUUAGAGGGGGAUACCGAUUGGAAACGAUCGUUAAUACCGCAUAAUAACGCAUGACAAAGAUUUAUCGCUGAAAGAUGAGCUCGCGUCUGAUUAGCUAGUUGGUAAGGUAACGGCUUACCAAGGCGACGAUCAGUAGCCGGACUGAGAGGUUGAUCGGCCACAUUGGGACUGAGACACGGCCCAGACUCCUACGGGAGGCAGCAGUGGGGAAUAUUGCACAAUGGAGGAAACUCUGAUGCAGCGAUGCCGCGUGAGGGAAGAAGGUUUUAGGAUUGUAAACCUCUGUCUUCAGGGACGAAAAAGACGGUACCUGAGGAGGAAGCUCCGGCUAACUACGUGCCAGCAGCCGCGGUAAUACGUAGGGAGCGAGCGUUGUCCGGAAUUACUGGGUGUAAAGGGAGCGUAGGCGGGAUCGCAAGUCAGAUGUGAAAACUAUGGGCUUAACCCAUAAACUGCAUUUGAAACUGUGGUUCUUGAGUGAAGUAGAGGUAAGCGGAAUUCCUAGUGUAGCGGUGAAAUGCGUAGAUAUUAGGAGGAACAUCAGUGGCGAAGGCGGCUUACUGGGCUUUAACUGACGCUGAGGCUCGAAAGCGUGAGGAGCAAACAGGAUUAGAUACCCUGGUAGUCCACGCCGUAAACGAUGAUUACUAGGUGUGGGGGGACUGACCUU
rnacentral:rRNA from 1 species